AGAGUUUGAUCCUGGCUCAGAAUGAACGCUGGCGGCGUGCCUAAUACAUGCAAGUCGAACGGGAAGCCUCGGACUUGUCUGGGGUGGAGAGUGGCGAACGGGUGAGUAACACGUAGGUGACCUGCCUCGAAGAUGGGGAUAACUGUUGGAAACGGCAGCUAAUACCCAAUGCACUCGGUAAUUCGGUUUAUCGAGUAAAGCGCCCCUCACGGGGAUAGCGCUUCGAGAUGGGCCUGCGGCCUAUCAGCUAGUUGGUAGGGUAAUGGCCUACCAAGGCAAGGACGGGUAGGGGGCGUGAGAGCGCGGUCCCCCACACUGGCACUGCGACACGGGCCAGACUCCUACGGGAGGCAGCAGUAAGGAAUCUUGCGCAAUGGGCGAAAGCCAGACGCAGCGACGCCGCGUGGGCGAAGAAGGCCUUCGGGUUGUAAAGCCCUUUUCCAGGGGAAGAGGAAGGACGGUACCCUGGGAAUAAGUCCCGGCUAACUAUGUGCCAGCAGCCGCGGUAAGACAUAGGGGACGAGCGUUAUCCGGAUUUACUGGGCGUAAAGAGCGUUGAGGCGGUUCCGUAAGUUGGAUGUGAAAGCCCCGGGCUUAACUCGGGGAGGUCGUUCAAUACUGCGGGGCUAGAGGGCAGCAGAGGGAGGUGGAAUUCCCGGUGUAGUGGUGAAAUGCGUAGAUAUCGGGAGGAACACCCGUGGCGAANGCGGCCUCCUGGGCUGACCCUGACGCUGAAAUGCGAAGCUAGGGGAGCGAACGGGAUUAGAUACCCCGGUAGUCCUAGCUGUAAACGAUGGAUGCUGGGUGUGGGGGGUAUAAAUUCCCUCUGUGCCGAAGCUAACGCGUUAAGCAUCCCGCCUGGGGACUACGGCCGCAAGGCUAAAACUCAGACGAAUUGACGGGGGCCCGCACAAGCAGCGGAGCGUGUGGUUUAAUUCGAUGCUACACGAAGAACCUUACCUGGGCUUGACAUGCACGUGGUAGGGAACCGAAAGGGGACCGACCUUCGGGAGCGUGCACAGGUGCUGCAUGGCUGUCGUCAGCUCGUGCCGUGAGGUGUCGGGUUAAGUCUCGUAACGAGCGCAACCCUUGCCCUUAGUUAUACGUGUCUAAGGGGACUGCCCGGGAUAACCGGGAGGAAGGUGGGGAUGACGUCAAGUCAGCAUGGCCUUUAUGUCCGGGGCUACACACACGCUACAAUGGCCGGUACAAUGGGUCGCGAAGCCGUGAGGCGGAGCCAAUCCUGAAAGCCGGUCUCAGUUCGGAUUGUAGGCUGCAACUCGCCUACAUGAAGUUGGAGUUGCUAGUAACCGCAGGUCAGCUAUACUGCGGUGAAUACGUUCCCGGGCCUUGUACACACCGCCCGUCACGUCAUGGGAGCUGGCAACACCUGAAGCCGGUGAGCUAACCCGAAAGGGGGGCAGCCGUAUAAGGUGGGGCUGGUGACUGGGACGAAGUCGUAACAAGGUAACC
rnacentral:rRNA from 1 species